rnacentral:rRNA from 1 species
UACGGAGGGUGCAAGCGUUGUCCGGAUUUAUUGGGUUUAAAGGGUGCGUAGGCGGCUUGAUAAGUCCGUGGUGAAAGCCAACAGCUCAACUGUUGAACUGCCAUGGAUACUGUUGGGCUUGAGUACAGACGAGGUAGGCGGAAUUGAUGGUGUAGCGGUGAAAUGCAUAGAUACCAUCAAGAACACCGAUUGCGAAGGCAGCUUACUAGGCUGUAACUGACGCUGAGGCACGAAAGCGUGGGGAGCGAACAGG